AAAGCCCAACUUGAAAAUCUCCAGCCUUCGGCUGGCGAAUUGUAGUCUAUAGAGGCGUCCUCUGUGGCUAACCGGUCUCAAGUGCCUUGGAAAGGGACGUCAGAGAGGGUGAGAACCCCGUCGGACCGGCGCAGCUCACUUCACGAGGCGCUUUCGCAGAGUCGGGUUGUUUGGGAAUGCAGCCCUAAGCAGGUGGUAAAUCCCAUCUAAGGCUAAAUACUGGCGGGAGACCGAUAGCGAA
rnacentral:rRNA from 1 species